rnacentral:lncRNA from 1 species
CUCAGGGGAAAGCCCACUCCUUCCCACAGCGGGAGUCCUGCCUCCUCCCCUGGGCAGCUGCCUCCUAGUCCUGAUUGCCCAGUGGCCAGGCCAGUGUUGCUGUGUCCACAGGUCACAUUAGAGUCAGCAUAGCAGCCACACAGCAACAGAAGGCCACAUCAGCCAUGGAUCAUUGAGGGCUCGGAGUAAGUGCACCAGUGACACGCUCGGGGUCACUGACACUGCCCUUGGCUUUGGGACACAUCUGCUUUCCCCGAUCCACCCAUGGGCCCCAUGACUCGGCCCCCACCCCCACCUCCCUGAGUUCAGCCCUGGUCUCUCCCCCUUGCCCACCUGCUCUGGCCACACUGGCCCAGUUGAUGUUCUUGAACACUCCUCACUCAGCCUCCCCCAAACCCUCACACAUACCAGUCCCUCCACCUGGAUGUCCCCUCCCCGGCCCUCUGUGUGGCUCAGUGACAUCCCCAGCAGUCUUCCCUGACACGCUUCCCCUCCAACCCAGAUCCAGGGGAGCCCCUGUUCUUACGGUUCACCAUAUGCUCUGGUUUCCUUUCGUAUCAUUCGUCAAAUACCACAAUCGUGUGUUUAUUAGUGGUUAUUUAACAGCUGUGUCUCUUACGAGAUUCUUGCUUAUACGAAGUCAGGUCUACCGUGUUCUCUGCUGUGGCCCCGUGUCUAGCACGGAGCUGGGUAUAGAGCAGCUGUGCAAUAAACACUUGCUGAGUGGAGGGAGGGAGGAAGGAAGGAAGGAGAUCUUUACUCUUUUUCCAAGCUUAUGUGGCACAUCUUAUGCUCAUUUUAUCACCGAAGAAACUGAGACUCAGAGAGGUGAAGCUACUUGCCCAAGGGCACACAGAGGAUCAAGAGCAGAGUUGGGACUUGAACUCAGACAUGGAAGGAAGUCCUGUCGGCUCCUGGGUGACUGACUGUGUGAGUGAGGGAGUGAGUGAAGGCAUCAGACCAUGAAGACUGGAGGGGACACUGCAGCCAUCUCCUUUCCUCCUGAAGUGUCAACGUGAAAGGUGCAUCAGAGAGGUUGUCCUCCCUGUUCAAAGUCACACAGUCAACAUGCUGCCAAGAGCC